CCGCCCGUAGCUCAGCUGGUAGAGCAGCGGCCUUUUAAGCCGACGGUUCGGAGGUUCGAUCCCUCCCGGGCGGA
rnacentral:tRNA from 1 species